ensembl:lncRNA
AUGUUGAUUCAAUGUUUAAUUAUAGUUACCAUUUCAACGUUUGAAAACCUGUCGUUGAAUCAAUGUAACAGGUUUUCAAUCAUCUUUACUAUAGAUGAUGAUUUUUCUAUGUUGAAAUGCCCUACAGUGGAUCCACAUCGUUUCAAUGGUGCUGAUGGGGUUAGGGGAGGAGAGGGGGAACAGGGGCUCCCGAGACCAGAGAGAUCUCACGAGACCAGAGAGAUCUCGCGGGACUUCAGCUCAAACUGUAGCGGGAAUUUGGGCACAAAACAGCAGAUAAACUUCUGUGUGAGACAAACUGCCUCUGGAGGAAGCUACUCAGAGGAUGUUCAGUCAUUUGACCAGCCUGAUGGUGAGUGAACUACUUCACAUUACUACCUGAGAGGAGUGGCGGGGUACCAAGAAAAGAAAAGGCAAAGAGUUAGAAGGACAAAUGAGUUGAAUCUUUAAAGUUACUUUGCUCUUAUGUUCAGUUCAUGUUGAACUGGGGUCCUAUUUAUAAUGUUUGUGUCCCCUGGAUUUUCAGGGCAAAGGUAGCCAGAUAAUUCAUUAAGACGUUUGUUCAUGUUGAACUGUGGUCCUAUUAGAUCACACAUCUAAAAGAUUUCAAAUUAACAGACGUGUCCGACAAGGCUGCCCUAUAUCUCCCUUUUUAUUUCUUUUAGUCACUGAGUUAUUGUCAAUCAGUAUAGUAAACAAUGAGAAAUUUGAAGGUAUCUCAAUUAUUUGGCAGAGAAUUAAAAAUCUCCCAACUGGCAGAUGACACUACACUUUUAACCCUUUAAGCGCCGGGUUUUAUUUUGAAAAAUACUAGAUUUUGACAUCUAAAUUUCAGGAGGCUCUGACUUGAAAGUGGUUUGAGAUAGAGACAAAGUGUAAAUGAGACAAAUAUUGAGAAUGACCUAAAGUUUAAAUUUCCCCAUUUAAUUAGCAUAUUAUGACGUCAUAUGGCGACGGCCAUAUUGGAUUAUAUAAUUUCCAUGAAAUACCUGAUAUUUUGAAAGAGAGUUGAACUUAUUUCAUCGGAUUCACCCCCCUCCAUCUAUUUGUUAUGUUGUCCGCAUAUCAAAUGUACAGGGAAAAGUAAAUUGUAAGCCAACAGUCAUAAACUAGAACUAUUACUACCACAAAACUUAUGUAAACAGUAGGCGUUUUUUAUGAUUUUUUACCUACUACCACCCCUCCUAUUGGAGGACACUUUUCCUUUUCUUUUUUAUUCUCUUCUUCAUCAUUAUUAUUAUUAUUAUCGUCAUUAUUAUCAUCAUUAUAAUAUGAUAAUAAUAAUAACAGUAGGUGUCUUUUAGCUGCAGAGGCCUAAUCUGAUCUAUCGAGAUAAAAGUUUGUAGUAUUUGUAGAGUGUGGAACCUCUCAUUGCAAGGCACAGUACAGAGACAAUAUGAACAAUAUUGAGACCCCACCACAUAGCCUAACAAAUGGAUAGGCACACCACUGCCGCAUCGGAUGGCCGCGCAUGGACGCACUGCGACCGGCGCGGUAGAAAGAGUGAACACUAACGCUGGUCCCAGCGCUAUUCUCACCACCCCCGCUACUUCUACCACAUCCAUUAGCUCCCCUACCGAUACUACGAGUUCGUGUAGUACUCCCACCUAUGUUGGGCAAAAUGUCUUGUGUUUGUGCUUGUGUGUUUACCUCGCUCUGCCCGGCAGCGCCGGUGCAAAGACGCACCGUGCCUAUCAUGCUCACUAAACGACCGGCCGUCAUCUCCCUAAGGUACAUUUUCCCCUUCAGAAUCAGGAUCAGCGAAUAGGAGACCCAUCACUUCCCUAAUCAUCAACUUUUAGCUUGUUAUUUUCGUUUAUUUCGUCUCAAUAACUCCUAAAUCCAGCAAUACCGCUUCAGCAUAAAUAGCGCCGUGGCGCACUAUUUCUGGUUUCUCGCCCAACAAUUUGGACGGGUCUUCCUCGAACAUUUUGCAUUGAAACAUGAUGUUUUUCUGAGCUAAGGUCUAAGUACGGGAUGUCUGCCAACUAGUGGAGGGGAGUAUGAAUGAGAUAUAACACUCUAUUAGGAGAAAACAGCUGUUUAAUUCAGUACCGCGUCCUAUCGCAAUUUUGCGACUUUGGCUCUUAAAGGGUUAAAAAAAGUCAAGAAUCAACUCUCUAUUACUCUAAUUAUCCAAUUUUCAAACGCCUCAGGUCUAAGACUUAAUAUGUCCAAAUGUCUCCCCGACACGGUAUUGUUUAUGGGCUAAACCUACAUAGUACAGAUGCUUACAGCUGUUAGCUCACAAUGACAGUACUAAAGUUCUUUGCGGGUUCACAUAACUUGACCCACUAGGUUGCAUGUUUCUGAUGGACGAGCUAGUCUGAUGCCAAACAUGUGUGAGAGGUCUGACAGGACAUGUUUGUUUGUUUACAUCGCGUUGCGCUGCACAUUAUGAAACCAACAUUUGGAAUACCGCAGUCAAAACCCUGUCUUUCACUUUCUCUGUUGGGUCCGUGGAACGCAGUCAAUACAACCAACCCUCUGACGUCGUAAGUCAGAGUGCUACAAGAUGCCGGCGCCCUUGCCUCAAAAAACAAACGUGGACUUCUUUUUUCUCUAAAAUGCUUACAUUUGUCACUUUUAUUUUACAAUUAUUGAGUAGAGGUUAAAUCCAUUUAGUAAAUCAGCUUAACUUGGUUGACUGCUUCAUAUCCACUUUAACAUAGCAUUUGUUUCUCUCAAUGCACAAGUGCUUCAUCCCAGCGCUCCACAGAACCCUGUCCAUAAUUUUCUGUCAGAAAAAAUGCUUUAUGUACACUUACAGUUCAUUAGAAAAUUCUCAAUAAACCCUUGAAAAAGAUUAUAGACAUUAGCACAACACUGGUGCACACAUAACAUUCAAAUAAAGUGUAAAAAUUGUAACAUGUCAGUAUGUAAUAAUAACGCUAUGUUAACAUUUUGUGUAAUUUAUUGUGUAUAUUUCUUGAGCUACAACCCAAUUUUGUUAAUCGAGAAGAAGAAGAAGAAGAAGAAGAAGAAGAAGAAGGGG